rnacentral:tRNA from 2 species
ACAACCACUGUUAAUAUAGUUUCAAAAAAAACAUUAGACUGUGGCUCUAAAAAUAGGAGUUAAAACCUCCUUAUAAACC